rnacentral:lncRNA from 1 species
AAGGCACUCAUUCUCAACUACGAGCAUCCAAGAGCUCACUGAGUCAAUAUCGUCGCCCUCCCUUAAUUCCGUCGGGAGAUAUUCCACGCGAAAGCUAUGGUUCCUUUCUUGUGAUCGGGAGGUAUCAAUUGAAGUCUUUGAUGAUAGUUUCCUAUGCUGGGGAAUGGGCGUUGCAGUCUCUCCCUCGACCAAUCAGAGGGCGGAACCGAUCGAUGAUCUACCGGUUCCGAGUCUGGUGGAGCAGUGGACCUCUUAUGAGCUUUAGCAAAAGGUGCUGGAGAUGCCGGAGAUGCGUAUGCUCUACUGAAGCAAGAUUCAGUCGUAUCGGUAGAAUGCAUCCCGGAGCCAGCAAAUGUAAACAAACGUUGGACAAAGCACAAAACAAUGGGGAAAAGUCACAAAGCCUUUGGACAAGCCAUCUGGGCCCAGCGCCUGAAAAAAUUCGCACAACAAAAAUGCUGGACGCCGGACAUGGGCAGCAGGCCCGGUCUGAGACAGCCGAGGGCUGUCCUUGACCUGUAUAACAAGGUCCAAAGAUGCCCACGGCAGUGCGGCAGCCAGCAGCCGCUGACCUUCCGGGGGGUGGCUGCGCUGCAAAGAGGCUGUAACUGUGGACUGCACAGUAGCCCCAGUCAUCAUGCACCAUUCUUGCAUCCUCACUAGAAUGUCAGCUGUGGCUGGGUGGUCCUAUUUGAUGCUUCUAAUCACUAUUUCUGACUAAUUUAUUUGCUUGGUGUUGGACAUGUCGCUGUUUUGCUGUUUUUUUUUUGGGGGGGGGUGGUGGAUGGCUUGGACAAUAGCACAGUAUAGUAUUUUGAGUACAUCUGUGGUGUCCUGGGCUGAGAGUUGUACCUAUUACUUGUAAAGGUGUGCUGUGUUGUUGCACAGGUCCCCAGGCUUAGUGCUGGUGCUUGCGAGCUAACACAACAGUGCAAUGGUGUGGUGGCUGGUUAACUUAUGUUCACAAGUUUGUUUUAUCCCAUUUAUUGUUAACCUCACUGCUUUUCAUGACAUUUUUCUUUCCUUGGUUUUGCAAAUGCUUUGCUUGGGCUGCAUACUUAGAGCAUGAUGGUCAUGAUGGUGGCUGAAUUCAGUACGCUGAGCUGCAUCCAACCCAUGCUCUAGGACCCCCAUGACAGGGCUGGGAUCCAGCGGAUCCGGCAAUAUGUUGAGUCCGGCCGUCUGGCGGAGCUGAGGCAGCGCCCCAACAUCCAGCCCAAUCUGCAGCUUGAGCGGCAUGCUGCAGGCCAGGGACUACAGCCAGCGACCUCCACUUCCAGGCCUUCCUGAUCGAGGGUCUGGUUAGAUGGAACGCGGAUCGUCACCUGGCGGCGAUCGGACAGGACAGCGCCCGCGAGGUCCGGUGCUACGGACGAGUACAGGGUGCUACGACGGCCGGAUACGGGCAGCCGUCAACGACCUGUCGCAGAGGGUGCUCAAGAGGGACCUAGUCACCAGAAGCGAGCCUCUUCGAUACACGGGUGAGCUCGUCGGGGUCGCCUACCUGUACGGGCAGACGGGCCGUAGGCUCGACGAGUACAGGGUGGGUGACCCCGACACGCAGCACGGCGAGGAUGACGAUGUUGGCGAUGACCUCGACGAGGGAUUCGAGGACGUCGAGGACAUCUUCGUGACCGACGCGUACGAUGGUCUCGAAAUGCCACUUCAGACGCCUCUCCCGGCCGCUCCCGUCGGAGUCCCCAGCCUCGCCGCCGCCGGACCUCAGGGACCCGCUACCGCCCGAGUCCCCAGCUCCGCCGACGCUGGGCCUCAGAGUCCCGCCGACGCUGGGCCUCAGAAUCCCGCCGCCGGACCUCAGAGUCCCGCCGCCGCUGCAGCUCCGGGCUCCGCCGCCGCUGCAGCCGCAGCCGCCGUCGCUGGAGCUCCGGGCCCGGCCGCCGCUGCA